UUCUAUACGGCUAUACCAGUUAACUCGCCUUUUUCUCUUCUGUGACGGGAAAACGAAACCCUAGCUAUACGGAAAACCGGAAAAGUCUCUGAUUAGUAUAUAAAUUCGUUGAAUCAGAUCAGGGAAAGAGUUGGAAAAAACUUAUGCUCUAAUAUGUUACCUACGAUGUUGAUUUAUGAGGAGUGAAAUGUUGUGUAAGAUCUGUUCUUUUGUUACAGAUGUGAAUGGUAAGCAUGUAGGUUGGGGAACUAGGGUUAUCUUUAGUUGAUUGACUUCACGUUAAUGGAAGAUACAGAAGAUAAGUGCUAUUGUACUGAAAAUGAUGAGAAAUGUACCUCAUUGGAUUUGCAAAGCGUAAAUGAGCAUAAAAUUUUGAUCUCGAGACUUUUGGCUGUUAAUAAGCGCAGUUCUGGUAGUCGUAGUGAUAGGAGAAGUUGCAGUACUUUGCAAAGAAAAUUUAAUACUGAUGAUCAAAACGAGUAGGAAGAAGAGUAAAAAGGAUGUUUUGUUGAGUAGUUUUUCAACGAGAGGGAAGAGGAGUGAUGGUGAAGUAUGUAAGGGUCGGUUGAAUUCAGUUUCAAAUGAAUUGGGGAAGGUAGAGUUACUGGAGGAUGUGAGAUUGGAUGGUACUGGUGGUUGUUUAGGUGGAAUUUCUCUCGCUUUGAACGGUAAUGUUAAUGUGCUUAAGCGUCCUCGAGAUUUGGUCAGGAGAAAGAAGGCUGAGAUUGAUCUUUCGUUGAAGCAGGAAGGAACAUUGAGUGGUAAAGUAAGUCUGGUAAAUGGAGGCAAACUGAAUGCCAAUGUAGGUGGUAGCUUAGUGAGAAAUGACAUUAGUAGCAGAAAAUUGGAUGACAAUGGUAAAUAUGAGAUUACUUCAAAUGGUGGUGUUAUAGCAAAUGGGAAAAGAAGAAAGCAUUCUCAUGAUCAUAAAAGAAGUAACACUGAUAUUUCAGACUUGCAUCGGCAUUUGAAGAGAGAUGGUUCUCAUUCUUCUCUACAUAAUGGUGAUUCAGUGGCAAAAAAAGCUCGAAGUAACGUUCUGAAAAAAAAAGAAACGAGAACCAAAAGUCCUGUGUUGCCUGUUAAAGCUAAGCAGUCGUUGUAUGAGUCGAGUAGGAUUUGUGAUGAUUUCCAGGAUGAUGACGAGAAUCUCGAGGAAAAUGCAGCGAGGAUGCUUUCUUCUCGCUUUGAUCCAAGCUGCACGGGUUUUUCUUCUGUAGGCAGGAACUCUAAGUUGCAAUCUCCAAAUGAGCUGUCAGCGUUGAUCUCUUCUGAUAGGAUUUUGGUCCCUGAACAUCCGAGUUCUAUAGAAGAGUCCAUUAUUGCUUUCAGUGAUUCUGAAGCAAGAGCUCUACUAGCAAGGGAUCAGCAGAAAAUCAAAGGGCUUUCAAGAAAUCAACCGCAAUUUCAUGAGGUUGUAUCAGGGGGAUUUGAUUCUUUUUGGGUAUUGAACCGAAGGAUCAAGGUUUUCUGGCCAUUAGACCAGAGAUGGUAUUUUGGUCAUGUCAUUGACUAUGAUGCAAAGAAGAAACUUCAUCAUAUCAAAUAUGAUGAUCGUGAUGAAGAAUGGAUUGACCUUCAAAAUGAGAUGUUCAAGCUUUUAUUGUUACCUAGUGAGGUUCCUGGAAAGGAUCGGAAGAAAAAGUCAAAAGCUCAUUUAAGAAAGUCGAAAUAUGAUGAAGCUGCUGAAAUGGAGGAGAUAAAUGGGAGCUGUAUGGAGUCUGAGCCUAUUAGUUUAUGGUUGGCACGGUCUAACCAUCGCAAAUCACCACAUUCCGGAGCAAAGAAGAAAAAGAGAACACUGGAUAAAUCUCAAUCAUCUUCCUUUUCUGGAGUGAAAAUUGAGCCAGCGGAAACCUCAGUAGCAGGUCCUUCUGGGCGCAAUGUUGAUGACUCUGGUGUUUCUGCCUUGCCUAAUAUAUCUGGUAAGGAGAGGAAGCUGAUCACAGACAACUUUCUUUCUAAUAACGAUAGAGCUCUAAUAGUUUAUUUUAGGAGGCGUUUUCACAGGAGAAAAGAACCACCAUCAAGUGUUUUUGAAGGGAACUUGUGCCAAGUGUCAGAAAAGCAGGAUGCAUGGGGAAAUGAACGCUACUCUUUUGAUUCCAUAGCCCUUGCAAAUGACAGGUUAUUCUGGAUUGGUGAAUGUGAUAACCCUGCCAAAAAAUUGAGUAAUAAUGAGGUCAUUUGGGAGGUUGACUCUUCUGGGUGUUUGAAACUGGUUAUUCCAGUCAUAAGUUUGAAUGUGUUUAAGUUUGAUUGGAGCUUCCAAUUUCCUGUUGUUAAUAGCAUUAUAGUUGGCUGGCCACAACACAUGUUCAUGCUGCAACAUGGUACUUUGAUCUCCGCAUGGCCUACCGUUCAUCUGGAGAUACUGUUUGUUGACAAUGUCACUGGUUUGCGGUUUCUGUUGUUUGAAGGAUGCAUGAAGCAGAUAGUCUCUUUUGUUUUCUUGGUUCUGGCUGUAUUCUGUCAGUCUCAGCAUAAAGAACUGCAUGAUGAUCAGCAGCUACCCGUGACCUCGAUCAGGUUUCGGUUUUCUGGCUUACAUUGUCUUGCAAAGCAGCUUGAAUUCACAUUUUAUAACUUUUCGGAGGUGAAAGAUUCCACGUGGUUAUACCUAGACAGAAAGCUGAUGAAGCGCUGCAUGCUCAUUAAGCAACUGCCACCAUCUGAUUGCACUUCUGACAACAUUAAGGCUCUUCAAACUGGUUGUAAUCUGUUUACACUGAGCAAUAGUAGCUGGAAGCCCUCUUCAUUAAUUAAUAAUCCUUCGCCAAGCUUUAGGGAGCAAGAUCCUGUAUGUUUUAUGGAUCAUCCGGAUUAUAAAGCUACUAUGUCAUCUUCACUUCCUGUGGGGUGCAGUUCACCUGUUGUGCUUCCUGUGGAGAAAGGGAAAGCUCGGCUAACUGAAGGUGACAGUCAUUUAUCAGCACAGCCUUUAGAUUCUGAUAACCUUUUUAAAGUCAAUGACAAUAGAAAAUGUGGUCAUCUGAAGGGUUUAACCAUUGAGAUGCAGUCAUAUGUUCCUAUUGAAAGGGUUACCAGACACAUUAUUGAUUCGGAAUUGAAUGACUAUGAUGGAGUGUACAAGCCAAGCUCUGCUGCUUCUCAAAGUACGUGGGGUAGGACUGGAGUUGGCAAUUCUCACUCUUCAGCCUCUGCAACUCUCUCUCCAGGUUGGGUUGAUGGGCAACAAGGCUUUCUUCACAGUGGCUUUGGCGAUGGACCUAAGAAGCCAAGAACUCCAGUUUCAUAUUCUCUUCUUUAUGUAAGAGAAGACUAUAGCCCUAAGAACAAGUUCUACCAAUCAAAAAGUUUUUCUCGUAAACGCAUCAGAAGAGCUAAUGAGAAGAAUACAUCCGACAUUAUGGGACCUUCUCAAAGAAAUUUGGAAUUGCUGUCUUGUGAAGGAAACCUUUUGGUUAAUGUAGGGGAUCGAGGGUGGCGAGAAUGUGGGGCAAAGGUUGUACUAGAGCUUUUUGACAGCAAUGAAUGGAGGCUUGCGAUAAAGAUUUCCGGGGGCAUCAGGUAUUCUUACAAAGCGUAUCAGUUUGUGCAAUCUGGAACAACAAACCGGUAUACUCAUGCUAUGAUGUGGAAAGGUGGAAAAGAUUGGAUUCUAGAGUUUCCAGAUCGCUCUCAGUGGACAGUGUUUAAGGAGAUGCAUGAAGAAUGUUAUAACAGGAAUUUUCGUGCUGCAUUAGUGAAAAAUAUUCCCAUUCCCGGUGUUCGCGAGGUUGUAGAAAGUGACGACAAUAUUCCUGAAGUACCAUAUGAAAGGCCUCUAAGAUACUAUCAGCAGAUGGAAAAUGAUGUUGACAUUGCUAUGGAUCCUUCCCGUGUCUUGUAUGACAUGGACAGUGAUGAUGAGCGGUGUAUCAUAAAACACAGUGGCGCAAAUUUUAAAGAAGGGAGCUUUGGGGAUGUGUCUGAUGAAAUGUUUGAGAAGACAAUUGACGUGCUUGAGAAAUUUGCUUAUGCUAAACAAUGUGAUCAUUUCACUUUGGAUGAAUUAGUGGAAGCCUUGGCUAAGGUUGCACCAUUGGAAGCAAUUCAAGUCAUUUAUGAGCACUGGAGGGAGAAACGACACAGGAAGGGAAUACCUUUAGUCCGGCAUCUACAGCCUCCCCUCUGGGAAAGAUAUAAGCAGCAAGUAAAAGAAUGGGAGACGGUGAUGGCAAAGAGCAACAUGCUCCUUUCCGGUGGAUGCCAGGAUAAGCCCUUAAAAAUUGAAAAACCUCCGAUGUUUGCAUUCUGUUUGAAACCGCGAGGAAUGGAUAUGUCAAAUAGAGGGUCAAAACAGAGGUCACAAAAGAAACUUCCAGUUGGUGCACUGAGCAAUGGAGAUGCAGAUACUUUCCAUUCUCUAGUUGGACGAAGAUUAAACAGGUUUGCAUUAGCAGAUGACAGAUUUAGCUAUGCUGCCUAUAAUCAAGGGAUGUCUGAUUCCUCUCUGGUCCUUAAGGCCUCAACUAGGUUGUUCUCUCUCAGGGAUUCCGGUUCUGUGGGGUACCUUUCUUUGAUUAGUGAUGGCUACGAGAGGAAUGACUACCCGAAACUUUAUAAAAAUAAGCCGAAAAAGUUCUUCAUACCAUCCAAUGGUCAUUCACCUAUUGUUUCAUACAAUCGGAGACCUUUAGGCAAACGAGGUUCAGUUCAUUUAUGGAGUUCCCCCGAGUGGCCCAGUCUGCAUAAUCAGCGAGAUGAGUUUCAAAGACACAAGUUUGAGCAGCUGGAUCCUUCUGAAGUUGAUGAGUUUAGGUUGCGUGAUGCAUCUAGUGCUGCUCGACAUGCUGCCAUUAUUGCCAAAAUGAAGAGAGAGAAUUCCCAACGAAUGCUAUGUAGAGCAGAUCUGGCAUUGCACAAGGCAGUGUCUGCUAUCAUGACUGCGGAGGCAGUUAAAAGUUCAUACAGGGAACCCAAUAGUGAGUGAUCUUUGAUUGAGUGGGUGAAACCUUUUUGAUUUGUAGGGCUCUCCUUUAACAUGGGAUUUUUACGCCAAACUGGCGACAGUGGAGAAAAUCUGGUUUAUUAUCCUGAAGACUGGAAUUUGUAGAUACAGAAGUCCUCUAACGUGCUAUGAGCUGACUCAUAGGAGUGUGAACCUUUUUCUUUACCUGAGUGACGCCAGGCCUUUCAGCUCUCUAGACUAUAGUUGAAGCAGUAUCAACGGGUGGUUUGCUAUUAGUUUUGACUGAAUACUCUGAAAACACUUCUGUUCGUGCAGAGAAAAGCAAGGGGAAGGAAUUGAAAGGAUGAAGGAUGCAUUGUUUGGAUGACAAAAAUGGAGGGUAAAGGUUUGGAAGGGAGGGGUUUGAAGGAAAAAUAUGGACAAACUUUGUUAAGAAUACAAUCUCUCCUAGAGUGGAAAGAUUUGAAGGGAAACCAAUCAUUUUCUUUUCUCUUCUCUUCCCUUCCCUUCAAAACAAACAAGAAGCACUCUCCCUCCUUAAACCGCCCUGUUUCUUUUACUUCUUUCCUUUCCCUUUUCUUUUCUCUUCUAAUUUGCUAUCCAAAUAUAGUGUAAAUGAGUGUGCUAAAUGAUAGUAUACACCCCUUGAGAUGUUAACCUCUGGCUGGAAUUCAAGCCGUUGUCUA